rnacentral:rRNA from 2 species
AAAUUGAAGAGUUUGAUCAUGGCUCAGAUUGAACGCUGGCGGCAGGCCUAACACAUGCAAGUCGAACGGUAACAGAAAGCAGCUUGCUGCUUUGCUGACGAGUGGCGGACGGGUGAGUAAUGUCUGGGAAACUGCCUGAUGGAGGGGGAUAACUACUGGAAACGGUAGCUAAUACCGCAUAACGUCGCAAGACCAAAGAGGGGGACCUUCGGGCCUCUUGCCAUCGGAUGUGCCCAGAUGGGAUUAGCUAGUAGGUGGGGUAAAGGCUCACCUAGGCGACGAUCCCUAGCUGGUCUGAGAGGAUGACCAGCCACACUGGAACUGAGACACGGUCCAGACUCCUACGGGAGGCAGCAGUGGGGAAUAUUGCACAAUGGGCGCAAGCCUGAUGCAGCCAUGCCGCGUGUAUGAAGAAGGCCUUCGGGUUGUAAAGUACUUUCAGCGGGGAGGAAGGGAGUAAAGUUAAUACCUUUGCUCAUUGACGUUACCCGCAGAAGAAGCACCGGCUAACUCCGUGCCAGCAGCCGCGGUAAUACGGAGGGUGCAAGCGUUAAUCGGAAUUACUGGGCGUAAAGCGCACGCAGGCGGUUUGUUAAGUCAGAUGUGAAAUCCCCGGGCUCAACCUGGGAACUGCAUCUGAUACUGGCAAGCUUGAGUCUCGUAGAGGGGGGUAGAAUUCCAGGUGUAGCGGUGAAAUGCGUAGAGAUCUGGAGGAAUACCGGUGGCGAAGGCGGCCCCCUGGACGAAGACUGACGCUCAGGUGCGAAAGCGUGGGGAGCAAACAGGAUUAGAUACCCUGGUAGUCCACGCCGUAAACGAUGUCGACUUGGAGGUUGUGCCCUUGAGGCGUGGCUUCCGGAGCUAACGCGUUAAGUCGACCGCCUGGGGAGUACGGCCGCAAGGUUAAAACUCAAAUGAAUUGACGGGGGCCCGCACAAGCGGUGGAGCAUGUGGUUUAAUUCGAUGCAACGCGAAGAACCUUACCUGGUCUUGACAUCCACGGAAGUUUUCAGAGAUGAGAAUGUGCCUUCGGGAACCGUGAGACAGGUGCUGCAUGGCUGUCGUCAGCUCGUGUUGUGAAAUGUUGGGUUAAGUCCCGCAACGAGCGCAACCCUUAUCCUUUGUUGCCAGCGGUCCGGCCGGGAACUCAAAGGAGACUGCCAGUGAUAAACUGGAGGAAGGUGGGGAUGACGUCAAGUCAUCAUGGCCCUUACGACCAGGGCUACACACGUGCUACAAUGGCGCAUACAAAGAGAAGCGAUCUCGCGAGAGCAAGCGGACCUCAUAAAGUGCGUCGUAGUCCGGAUUGGAGUCUGCAACUCGACUCCAUGAAGUCGGAAUCGCUAGUAAUCGUGGAUCAGAAUGCCACGGUGAAUACGUUCCCGGGCCUUGUACACACCGCCCGUCACACCAUGGGAGUGGGUUGCAAAAGAAGUAGGUAGCUUAACCUUCGGGAGGGCGCUUACCACUUUGUGAUUCAUGACUGGGGUGAAGUCGUAACAAGGUAACCGUAGGGGAACCUGCGGUUGGAUCACCUCCUUACCUUAAAGAAGC